AACGAACGCUGGCGGCGCGCUUAACACAUGCAAGUCGAACGAGAAGGCGUAGCAAUACGCUUGUACAGUGGCGAACGGGUGAGUAAUACGUGGGCGACCUACCCUCGAGUGGGGAAUAACCCGCCGGAAGGCGGGCUAAUGCCGCGUACGCUUCCAUCUUUAUGGAGGUGGAAGGAAAGCCGUGCCGUGGGCACGGCGCUCAAGGAUGGGCUCACGUCCUAUCAGCUUGNGGUAGGGUAACGGCCUACCAAGGCUCCGACGGGUAGCUGGUCUGAGAGGACGAUCAGCCACACUGGCACUGCGACACGGGCCAGACUCCUACGGGAGGCAGCAGUGAGGAAUAUUGCGCAAUGGGCGAAAGCCUGACGCAGCGACGCCGCGUGGGGGA
rnacentral:rRNA from 1 species